GAUGAACGCUGGCGGCGUGCCUAAUACAUGCAAGUCGAACGCAUUGAGAGAAGUGCUUGCACUUUUCAAUUUGAGUGGCGAACGGGUGAGUAACACGUGGGCAACCUACCUGAUAGCGGGGGAUAACGAGUGGAAACAUUCGCUAAUACCUCAUAACAAUAGGGAAGGCAUAUUCUUUAUUUAAAAGGCGCGCUCAAGCGUUACUCUGAGCUGGGCCCUCGGUGCAUUAGUUAGUUGGUGGGGUGAAGGCCUACCAAGACGAUGAUGCAUAGCCGAGUUGAGAGACUGAUCGGCCACAUUGGGACUGAGACACGGCCCAAACUCCUACGGGAGGCUGCAGUAGGGAAUCUUCCACAAUGGACGAAAGUCUGAUGGAGCAACGCCGCGUGUGUGAUGAAGGCUUUCGGGUCGUAAAGCACUGUUGUAUGGGAAGAAAUGCUAGGCUAGGAAAUGAGCUUAGUUUGACGGUACCAUACCAGAAAGGGACGGCUAAAUACGUGCCAGCCGCCGCAGUAA
rnacentral:rRNA from 1 species